rnacentral:rRNA from 1 species
AAUCUUUUUCCAGGUUGACCUCGGAUCAGGUAGGGAUACCCGCUGAACUUAAGCAUA